rnacentral:rRNA from 1 species
CAGUAGCCGCGGUAAAACGUAGGUGGCAAGCGUUGUCCGGAAUUAUUGGGCGUAAAGGGCUCGCAGGCGGUUUCUUAAGUCUGAUGUGAAAGCCCCCGGCUCAACCGGGGAGGGUCAUUGGAAACUGGGAAACUUGAGUGCAGAAGAGGAGAGUGGAAUUCCACGUGUAGCGGUGAAAUGCGUAGAGAUGUGGAGGAACACCAGUGGCGAAGGCGACUCUCUGGUCUGUAACUGACGCUGAUGUGCGAAAGCGUGGGGAUCAAACAGGAUUAGAGACCCCGGUAGUCCCUGUCUCUUAUAU